AAAAUUGAAGAAAAAGUGUGGGAUUCCAAGGAAUUAAGCAAGGAAGUGCAAAGAUAAGGUUAGAGUACUGUGGUGGCGUGCCGGAGUAAACAUCGAGCGACCGGCCAGUGAAAAUAAUCAGAGACACCUCCGAUCAAAUAGCGAUGUAAUAACCCGCUAUCAUAAGGAGUGUGCAUAAGCCGAUGCUGACCCGACUAUGUGCAAGUAGGAGUGCGUAUAAGCUGAUGCUGACCCGGUUAUGUGCGAGUAGGAGUGCGCAUAAGCCGAUGCUGACCCAACCAUGUGCUAGUGGGAGUGCAU